UUUUACUGUUUUAUUGAUUAUGGGUUGAAUGACUGAGAAACCGAUGCUGUAUGUUGUCUUGUUUGGCAUAAAUUACUGUUUGCUUGUUUGUAUGUAAAUUGAUGAUGCUGACUGAGGAAAAGGAGAAUGAAAGAUUAUGUAAAUUGAUAAUUGUAUAAUGUGGUCAGCCUGACUAGAUAUCCUGAGAGAUGGUGGACGGACCGGGUCCGUAGGGAACCCUACCGGGAUUGUGGUCUCUCAUACCGGACGGGGUAUGGAGACCUUAUGUGUUUUGGCGCCCAU
rnacentral:lncRNA from 1 species